CCAUUUCAUCUAUAAAGGCAUCUUUAUCCACAGAAACCAUAAACAAUCUAGGAAAAGAUGGUUUAAGGCUAACAGAACCAAGCCAGAUACAAUGCCAGAACUUAACUUGAUCACCACACGUUACCUUCCUAAUAUUUUUAUCAAUGUUUUAUUUUUAUGACAAAACUUAGGUGCAGUUCCUUAGAUGUUUUAGGUGGUGUUCUCUAAUUAGAGUGUUAUCUUGUAAACUUUGCUAGUAAGGUCCACAUUUAAAGUCAACACUAGUUUCUGAGGUGACUUUAAUUAUGAAUGGAAAAACAAUACUAAAAAUACCUAAAGAACCACAUCAAAGUUUUGUCCUUUGUUUUAUAUUAUAAUUUUGCAAUGACUAUUUUUCCCUAGUGAACAGAAUUUCUGGCAGAAUAAAUUGUGCCAUUGUUUUGCAUUUGUAGAAUCUGGACUAUUAUAACCUUUUAUCUCCUCUUACUGUCUAAUGUUCUUACUGCUCUGCGAUAGAUUUGUUCAUUCUUUGUUCACUAUGUUUGUAGUGGAAUCCAUACGGCUUUCUAGUGUUGUUAAUUCAGAUAAAGUUUGCAUUGCUAUGCUCCUCUCCAAUAGUGUGAUAUUGAGAAGUCCUUAGUAUCAUUGAUUUUUGUAGUUUUUCUCUAAUAUGAACUCAUUUGGACAUAGGUCUAGAUGCUUCCCAUGUGUGCUUUGUUGCCUGAUUUUGUUGGUUGUAAGAUGUUGCAUCUAAAAUUCAUGUGCUUUCCUUUUUCUUGUCUUCCGAGCUGGAAAGAAGAUGAUGAUGAGGAUGGUCCAUCUCCCAGUCAAGGCCCCUCAUGGUUCAGAAAACAAUAUUCUCCUAAAGGCUCUGGAAGGCACAUUGUGUUUAUUAUUUUUAGUUUAUUACUUUUAGUGAAAAGAAGAUUAUGGUUAUAUAUGGUUUGUUCUGGAUUGGUAUAUUUCAAGGCUCUGUUGAUUAGAGUUUGUUUCUGUUUUGGUUUUAACUUGCAUCAUAAGUUUCUUGAAUAAGCAAUAUUGUGUGUGUUAAAUUGUAUUGCAAAUAAAAUUCUGGAUAUUAUAGAGCCUGUUUUGGAUUCAUAUGUUUUAAAAAAACUUGAUGUCUUUCAGGAAACCAUGAGUUUUGCAAAGAUGAUUUUGACGUUGAAACCGUUUUCUGGUCUGUCUUUGGUGGCAAUCGAUCUUACUAUUGGUCCUUUAUAAAUGAGGAAAAUCCUCAGUGGAGGUCAGGAGGCUUUUCUAAUCAUGAGAAAUCUUGGAAUUGGAGACGUCGGAGUGAAAAUGAAUAUAAUGGCACAUCAACCGAGCCAGAGUCGGAUUGUUCACAUUCAGAUUUAAUUUCAGAUAGAUUAGCCCUUGGACUGGGUGCUUCUGGCCCUCUGAAACUUGAAGAUGUGAAAAAUGUAUCGGAUAUGUGCCUUAAAGUGGCAUCCAGAUCGCCAUCAUGGCUCUUUUAAGGUUAUAGCAGAGGAAAAGUUGAAGCAUUGCAGUGCUGCUUAUCGACCGUUGUCUGAUAAGCUGGCCUUGGAUUAGGGAGUAAGAACUUGUGUUUUUUAUUCAUAGUGUAAGAACUUGUUAUAUUAAUAGUUUUUCUACAAGUUUCUGGCUCUAGGCAAUUAUAUGCCCAAGCUAAUUUAUUUUACACAAAGCUCGCUUUCAUUAUACUUUGGUCUGUUGCAAUUUUAUCAUAUGCUUGUGUAAAUUUUAUAUAUGGUGCUUCAUAUCACCAAUUUAGCACUA